GCGGCAACAGCUCAAAUUUGAAAUCUGGCGUCUCCGGCGCCCGAGUUGUAAUUUGCAGAGGAUGCUUUUGGCGACAUGCCCGGCCCAAGUUCCCUGGAACGGGACGCCGCAGAGGGUGAGAGCCCCGUACGGCCUGGUGUCUAGCCUCUGUAAUGCUCCUUCUACGAGUCGAGUAGUUUGGGAAUGCUGCUCUAAAUGGGAGGUAAACUCCUUCUAAAGCUAAAUAUUGGCCAGAGACCGAUAGCGCACAAGUAGAGUGAUCGAAAGAUGAAAAGCACUUUGAAAAGAGAGUCAAAUAGCACGUGAAAUUGUUGAAAGGGAAGCGCUUAUGAUCAGACUGGGGCUUGGUGGUUCAGCCGUCCUUCUGGGCGGUGCACUCCGCCGGUUCCGGCCAGCAUCAGUUGCCGGCAGGGGAUAACUGCUGUGGGAAUGUGGCCCUUCGGGGUGUUAUAGCCCGCUGCGUAAUGUCCUGCCGGCGACUGAGGUUAGCGUUCUCGCGGAUGCUGGCGUAAUGGUUAUUAGCGACCCGUCUUGAAACACGGACCAAGGAGUCGUCUGCUAUCGAGUGUUUUGGGUGUUAAACCCCAGCGCGAAAUGAAAGUGAACGGAGGUGAGAGCCUCGGCGCAUCAUCGACCGAUCCUGAAGUUUACGGAUGGAUUUGAGUAAGAGCAUGGCGGGCCGGACCCGAAAGAAGGUGAACUAUGCUUGGAUAGGGCAAAGCCAGAGGAAACUCUGGUGGAGGCUCGCAGCGGUUCUGACGUGCAAAUCGAUCGUCAAAUCUGAGCAUGGGGGCGAAAGACUAAUCGAACCUUCUAGUAGCUGGUUUCCACCGAAGUUUCCCUCAGGAUAGCAGUGCUGAUUCUCAGUUUUAUGAGGUAAAGCGAAUGAUUAGGGACUCGGGGGCGCUAUUUAGCCUUCAUCCAUUCUCAAACUUUAAAUAUGUAAGAAGCCCUUGUUGCUUUAGUGAACGAAGGCAUUAGAAUGUACAGCACUAGUGGGCCAUUUUUGGUAAGCAGAACUGGCGAUGCGGGAUGAACCGAUCGCGAGGUUAAGGUGCCUAAAUAGUCGCUCAUCAGACACCACAAAAGGUGUUAUCACAUCUUGACAGCAGGACGGUGGCCAUGGAAGUCGGAAUCCGCUAAGGACUGUGUACAACUCACCUGCCGAAUGUGAUAGCCCUGAAAAUGGAUG
rnacentral:rRNA from 1 species